GGAGCAAUCACUUUGAUGGGAUUAUACCCGAGGCCUCCAAAUCGUCAGUAGGAUUUAGAAGAACAAAUAUGUAGACACAUAGCAGUAGGAUGUAAAAGCAAUAGUGCUGUAGCAGUGGCCUCUCUGAGCUUGACUAUCUGCAAAGUUCUGUCUCUUGUUGCCACCUUCAUUGCACUUGCCUCCUGGAUUGGGAUUAAAGAUACCACCUUUGUACCUAUCAUUACAUUAUUCCUGGUGUCUGUUCAUCUUUUUGAUCAUCGUUGCACCAAUUAUCAUCCAGAAGGUCAGCUGCUUGUUUAAUGGGAAUUCCAAGAAAAGAAAGAUUGUCAACCUUCCAUUUGCUUGAAUGACAUUACUGUGAUCCUCAUUUUGAUCGUUACUUUAAAGGAAGAGAUUCAGCAAAACAAACAAAGCUGUCAUACCAGCAUUUUUAACAUGGAACAUACCUAUUGCACUGUUGGUCAGCUGUGUUCUAGUCGUCUCUGUGUUCCUUGCAACAUAUUGCUUUUCACGAUCUGAAUGGAGCCGUGAUUUGAGUGGAGUUUGAUGCUGGAUCUGAAUCUCAUCAGACCUUAGAAAAUGGCUGUGACAGUUGACAUCAGUGCCAGUGAAAAGUUUUAUCCAUCAAAACAGAAAAUAUUUUCUGCAAUCCUGUGGACAGAAUCUACUGUUUCAACUACCUCAUUAUUUUCAAUCAUCUGCUUGAUUUCAGAACACAUUCCUUUCAGAUGACCUAAGAUCAUCUGCCAAAUGUGAAUAAAGGUCAAGAUGGUCAGAGGAAAUACUUGAGCUCUGAGUUGUGCCGUGACAGGCCCAUGACUACAACAACCACUGCCAAAUUUUCUGUUCAGUUAUGCCAUGCUUAGUAAUUUUCUUGUAUGUACUAUUUUUUUAAA